rnacentral:ncRNA from 3 species
GGCCGUGCCAACCAAGGUUGGCACCUACCAAAGCAGGGCCGGAAACCCGGUAGUCGCCAACCUUGGUUGGCGCCGGA